rnacentral:rRNA from 1 species
AGUCACUGACAUUAGAUACCCGGGUAGUCCUAGCCGUAAACGAUACUCGCUAGGUGUCGGCCACGGUGCGACCGUUGUCGGUGCCGUAGGGAAGCCGUGAAGCGAGCCACCUGGGAAGUACGGCCGCAAGGCUGAAACUUAAAGGAAUUGGCGGGGGAGCACCACAACGGGUGGAGCUUGCGGUUUAAUUGGAUUCAACGCCGGAAAUCUUACCGGGACCGGCAGCAACAUGAAGGCCAAGCUGAAGACUUUGCCGGAUUAGCUG